rnacentral:lncRNA from 1 species
GGAAAAAUAAGAACACAAGAAAGGAGGAAAAGAACUACCCAUGGCCUCCUUGGCUAAGUGGACUUUUGCUGUAUUUCUGCCUAGGAUUUUUCCUCAGACAUGUUUUUACAUGGUUGUGACCAAAGAGUUUCAGAGCAAGGUGUGCUUUGCCUUCCCUUAAAGCUAUGCUUCCCACAACUCCCCUUCUAUGGAAAAAGUGUGACUUAGCGGGGAUAAAAUGGAAGCUGAUUUUGCUCUCAGUCAAAUCACUAAGACGCAACCAUUCAGCCAAAACAAAAACAUUCCACCACAGAAGAGACCACGUCCUGUUCCAGACCUCCUAAAAGAAGAUCAACCUUCUUUUGGGCCAGACUUCAGUUUUGCAAAUAAUAAAGCCAACAUGCUUCAAAUGCAUCUCCCACUCUCUCACUUUUGUCUCUACCAGUUCUGGAGAAAUCCGUGAAGUGCACUUGGUCUACAGAAAAGCAGCCCCUGAGUCAAGGACAAGGCCAGCUGCCAUCCCCAAAUCAAGGUCCUCCCACACAACCUCUCCCAA